AGCGAACGCUGGCGGCAGGCUUAACACAUGCAAGUCGAGCGGGCACUUCGGUGUCAGCGGCAGACGGGUGAGUAACACGUGGGAACGUACCCUUUGGUUCGGAAUAACGCUGGGAAACUAGCGCUAAUACCGGAUACGCCCUUUUGGGGAAAGGCGUGGUGGCGAAGGAUCGGCCCGCGUCUGAUUAGCUAGGUGGUGGGGGAAUGGCCUACCAAGGCGACGAUAAGUAGCUGGUCUGAGAGGGUGAUCAGCAACACUGGGACUGGGAUACGGACCAGACGCCCAGGGGAGGCAGCAGGAUUGAAUAUUAGACAGUGGGCGCGAGCCUGAUCCAGCCAUGCCGCGUGAGUGAUGAAGGCCUUAGGGUUGUAAAGCUCUUUUGUCCGGGACGAUAAUGACGGUACCGGAAGAAUAAGCCCCGGCUAACUUCGUG
rnacentral:rRNA from 1 species